rnacentral:rRNA from 1 species
GACGAACGCUGGCGGCGUGCCUAACACAUGCAAGUCGAACGGGAGCAAGUGCUUCGGUAUUUGCUUUAGUGGCGAACGGGUGAGUAACGCGUGAAUAACCUGCCUUAUACCGGGGGAUAACACUUAGAAAUAGGUGCUAAUACCGCAUAAGCGCACAGUAUCGCAUGAUACAGUGUGAAAAACUCCGGUGGUAUAAGAUGGACCCGCGUCUGAUUAGCUUGUUGGCGAGGUAACGGCUCACCAAGGCAACGAUCAGUAGCCGGCCUGAGAGGGUGAACGGCCACAUUGGGACUGAGACACGGCCCAA